rnacentral:RNase_MRP_RNA from 14 species
CGGGCGAAAGUCCCCGGGCACUGAGGCAGAAAGUGCCAGCUGUCGCAAGCAGGACCCUCCCGAGCUGCUCUGCAGCCAGGGGGCAGCUCGCCCAAGCAACAGUUAUGUAGCCAGUGGGGACACAACCCACCAACUGAACGGGGCUCACUCCUGC